GGUGUUGAGAGGAAACAAAUGUAUGAAGAAGGACAUGCAUUCUGUGCACCUCUUUCUUCACACCCUCAAGUCUGGGGACAGUUAUUGAACACACACUCAAUUUUGUUUGACAGAGAAGUCAACCUGGAGCUGAGCUGGAAGCUUCUUCCCUGCUGGCUAGCUGUCAUGAUGUUGGAAGGCACUGUGUAGUCUGCCAAGGGGAAAUAUCAUCAACAGUCUUACCCAGCUGUGGAUUCUGUGUACUGCACAACUGACCUACCAGGCAAAAUGUGCCCACUGCCACAUUAGUGGCUCUACUGAUUUGGGGAAAGGUGAAGCAUGAGACACUGGCCUCCCUUUGUCAAGGAAUGGCCCAGUGGGAGUGUGGGUUGCUCCAUAGGAUGAUUGCAUUCACAUUCAGGAUGGGAUUUUCCACUUUGUGUUAGUCUUCUCUGGAAGGCAUUCACAUCCAUACACACAGGGUGUCCAGUGGCAAGUAGACCUGGCCAGACUGCUCCAUGGACCACAGGAGAUGCUAAGUUGAGUCAAAAAAGGAUUGAUGGCUCAGGUCUGAUGCCAGGACAUGAGGGAGAGCAGAUGACAUCAGACAGGGCCACAAUAACCCAACAGAUGGCAGAGGAGGAAGACGGGAAGUGGUGGAAGCUAUGAUUACAUACAGAUCACGGAGAACCAGACAAGUCAUAGAGUGUGAACCAGACAACCCAUACCAAUGUCGUAUCUCCAGGACGUGGCUGUGACAGUUGCUGAGUACUAUGAGCCUCUGCUUACUGUGGGAGCUAUGGGCAUCUUGCUUGGGAAGCAGCGCAUGCUUCAAGGAGAAGAAUGAGGAAGAACAAUGAACAUG